CUUGAACUCAGAGAUUCUUUUUUUGCCUCUUGAGUGCUGUGUGUCACCAUCACCCAGCUAUAACAGUUCAUUUUUAAAAUGAGUAUCAUUGUGUUUACAUUUAAUGGCAUAAAUGAAUGAAUUUUUGGCAUUUUGUUAAUUACUACCUAGUUAACAGUAAAUUUGGGUUGACUUUACUCUGUCUCAUUUCCUCUUAGCUUUUCAAAUGAAAAUUUGUUCCCUCUCUCUUUAUGUAUUCUGUAUGCCUGUGGCAUUUCUGUAGCACCUUGACAAAGAAGUGUUAGUAGUUGGGCAUGCUCUCUCAGAUUUGGUUGUACUAGGUGCGUGCAUUUCUAAUUCUGCUUAUCCUAUGAGAAAUUGUGGAAUUGUGGGGAUUUUGCCUUUGGGAAGCUACUUUGACCACUCCAAGUCACUUGUGUUUCUUUCUUUGCUGCCUAACUUGACUGUAUAUACUGGGAUGGUAAAGCAGUAGGAGCAGGUCUUGAGUUCCAGUGUCAUCACCAAGGUAACUGGUGGACACAGAAUGGAAUUCUUCAGAGUAGUCAGUCCUGUGAUGGGUCUGUGGCGUUUUUGUAUUAUGGAAAGUUACCUGCCUUGAAACCUACACAGAGAUUCUUAAACUGAAAGCAAUCUUUGAUUUAUGUAGAUUUUAAAUCCAUACAAAUUUAAUUUCAGACUCCCUCUGUAAUUUAAAAGUCCCCAUAUGCCCCUUUUUUGGUUAGUAUAUUUUCAUUGUGUACCAUUUUUUUUAGGUGAUAAUUUUGCUGAGUUAUUCUCUUUGAAGGCAUUCUAAUUCCAGAUUUAAUGAGGAACUCAAAUUUCUAUAAAAACUUUAAAAAUAUAUGUUCCUUUUCACUAUUAUUUAUGAGUGUGUGCGUGUGUGUGUGUUUAGAUGGGUGCUGGGUAUUUUUGUGAAUUUCUUUUCUACUUCUUUUGUAGAAUCAGUGUCUUCCUGAACCCGGAAUUCUGAUUGUGGCCAUUGGCCAGCUAUCUUAGCCAGUCCUCCCAGGGCUCUCCUCCCUCUGCCUCCCCACUGCUGGAACCGAGCAUGCCUGCCUGCUCGCAUGUUAACUGUAGCCAUUAUAUGUGUAGGGCAAGUGCUUUACCCCCUGAAUCAUCUCCCUAGCCUCUCCACUUCUAUUUUUUAAAGAUUAAAAAUCCGUGUGUGUAAAAUGUGCAUUUGUGUGUGAGAGUGGAUACAUGUAUAGGAGGGUGUGAAGGUAAGAGAACAAUCUCUGUGCGCCAUCUCCAUCCUGAGGCACCUUCUACCUUUUGUUUGAGAUAGACUCAUUGGUCUGGCACCUUGCCAGCGUAGGCGAUCCUGAUCCUAGCGCUUGCAGUGUUUUACCAUCACUGGGAUUAUCAGUGCACACCACCAAGCCUUUUGUGGUCUAUGGGUUGUGUGGGUGCAGACUCUGCUCCUUCACCUUACUUACUGAGUCAUUUCUCUGACCCGCAUUUCCACUUUGUAUCUUCAUGCAUUUAUUGAUCAAUUAUUAACACAAAAUGAAUCAAGACGUGAACUGCUGUAAACAUAGCAUAGAGCAAAGUAUCCUGGAAACGAUGCCAUUCAAACAAUGGGAGGUAAAGGAGACAGACAAUAAGUGGAACUGGAUUCUAGUAGGUGGUUGUAGGUGCUAUAGUAGGUGGUUGUAGGUGCUACGGAGAGAACUUAGGUGAGGAAGAAGGAUGGACACAGAUGAGACCUGCAGACCAUUGAACAAAGGCAUGCAGGAGUCUUUGCAUGCUUCUUCAGUGUGACUGUGUGCUUAUCCUAUUGACGCUUUGAUCGAUGCUAACUUUUUUGUUAUAUUAGCAGUUCUGUUUUAUCCCCAUUCCUUCUCAUGGCAUAUUCUAUUUUUCUGUUUGGACUCUUAUUUUAAAUUUUUAUAUGCCUUUUCC
rnacentral:lncRNA from 1 species